UGUAAAAUAAGUUAAAUAAAACUGUUGGGCUCAUGACUCAAAUAUAGGGACGAGAUUUUCCUUUUUACUU
rnacentral:tRNA from 1 species